AUUUAAAUAGCUUAUAUUAGAGUAUAACAUUGAAGUUGUUAGGGAGGUAAUUUACCUUUAAAUA
rnacentral:tRNA from 1 species